rnacentral:rRNA from 1 species
UAAGGAAUAUUGGUCAAUGGGCGAGAGCCUGAACCAGCCAAGUAGCGUGCAGGAUGACGGCCCUAUGGGUUGUAAACUGUUUUUAUGUGGGUAUAAAGUGCGUGACGUGUCAUACAUUGCAGGUACCACAUGCAUAAGGACCGUCUAUUUCCGUGCCAGCAGCCGCGGUAAGACGGAAGGUCCGGGCGUUAACCGGAGUUAUUAGGUUUAAAGGGGGCGUCGGCUGUCUAUUAAGCGUGUUGUGAAAUUUACCGGCUCAACCGGGGGAUUGAAUCGCGAACUGGUCGACUUGAGUACGGAGGAAGUAGGCGGAAUUCAUGGUGUAGCGGUGAAAUGCUUAGAUAUCAUGACGAACUCCGAUUGCGCAGGCAGCUGACUGUAGCAUAACUGACGCUGAUGCUCGAAAGCGCGGGUAUCAAACAGG